CCUACGGGUGGCAGCAGUGAGGAAUAUUGGUCAAUGGACGCAAGUCUGAACCAGCCAUGCCGCGUGCAGGAAGACGGCUCUAUGAGUUGUAAACUGCUUUUGUACGAGGGUAAACGCAGAUACGCGUAUCUGUCUGAAAGUAUCGUACGAAUAAGGAUCGGCUAACUCCGUGCCAGCAGCCGCGGUAAUACGGAGGAUUCCAGCGUUAUCCGGAUUUAUUGGGUGUAAAGGGUGCGUAGGGGGUCGGUUAAGUUAGAGGUGAAAGUCCGAGGCUCAACUUCGGAAUUGCAGUUGAUACUGGUCGGCUAGAGAGUAGUUGAGGUAGGCGGAAUGUGUGGUGUAGCGGUGAAAUGCUUAGAGAUCAUGCAGAACCCCGAUUGCGAAGGCAGCUUACCAAGCUACUUCUGACGUUGAGGCACGAAAGCGUGGGGAGCAAACAGGAUUAGAUACCCGAGUAGUC
rnacentral:rRNA from 1 species